GUCUCACUCUGUCACCCAGGCUGGAGUGCAGUGGUGUUGAGGUAACAGACUCAUGGGAAAUUGGGGGAAUGAUGAAUUGCCAAGGACGGCUGGGUUAUCCUGAGUUUGGUGGGAGAUUAAAUAAAAAGUUCUCCUGAGACCUCACUUCCUUUUUUUCUUUUUAUUUAGAUGGAGUCUUUCCCUGUCAACCAGGCUGGAGUGCAGUGGC